rnacentral:rRNA from 1 species
UACAGAGGGGGCAAGCGUUGUUCGGAAUUACUGGGCGUAAAGGGCGCGUAGGCGCCUUCUAAGUCGAACGUGAAAUCCCCGGGCUCAACCCGGGAACUGCGUCCGAUACUGGAAGGCUUGAAUCCGGGAGAGGGAUGUGGAAUUCCAGGUGUAGCGGUGAAAUGCGUAGAUAUCUGGAGGAAUACCGGUGGCGAAGGCGGCAUCCUGGACCGACAUUGACGCUGAGGAGCGAAAGCUAGGGGAGCAAACGGG